AUACGUAGGGUGCGAGCGUUGUCCGGAAUUACUGGGCGUAAAGGGCUCGUAGGUGGUUUGUCGCGUCGUCUGUGAAAUUCCGGGGCUUAACUCCGGGCGUGCAGGCGAUACGGGCAUAACUUGAGUACUGUAGGGGUAACUGGAAUUCCUGGUGUAGCGGUGAAAUGCGCAGAUAUCAGGAGGAACACCGAUGGCGAAGGCAGGUUACUGGGCAGUUACUGACGCUGAGGAGCGAAAGCAUGGGUAGCGAACAGGAUUAGAUACCCUGGUAGUCCAUGCCGUAAACGGUGGGCGCUAGGUGUGAGGGUCUUUUCACGACUUUCGUGCCGUAGCUAACGCAUUAAGCGCCCCGCCUGGGGAGUACGGCCGCAAGGCUAAA
rnacentral:rRNA from 1 species